AAGAAUGGAGGACUCAUAAUAGAUAGAGAAGAGGGAACUUAUUGACGAGGUAGAGGUUGUAGUUCCGAGAAAGAGAAAUGAUAAGGGAGUGGAAGCGAUUGGCGAAGUUCCGGUGUAUUGAUGUUUUGUAGAAAGGACCUUUUUGAAUAACAACUACAUCAGUCUACUCAUGUACAUUGGAUCGUCUUAUUUAACUACUAUUUACUAGACCGAAAUGUCGGCCAUACACCUAUGGGUCCACCGAAAGACUUGGACAGUCUUACAAUAUAGGGUUGUACACUAAGAUGUAUCAGACUUGGAGAUUACGGUGCAGGACGGUGUGAUAUACGUUGUGGACAAGAACUAGUCAAGGAUUAGAAAACUACUCUUAACAAUUAGAGUAGGACUCUCUAGUUG
rnacentral:lncRNA from 1 species